rnacentral:rRNA from 1 species
UACGGGGGGGCAAGCGUUGUUCGGAAUUACUGGGCGUAAAGGGCUCGUAGGCGGCCAACUAAGUCAGACGUGAAAUCCCUCGGCUUAACCGGGGAACUGCGUCUGAUACUGGAUGGCUUGAGAUUGGGAGAGGGAUGCGGAAUUCCAGGUGUAGCGGUGAAAUGCGUAGAUAUCUGGAGGAACACCGGUGGCGAAGGCGGCAUCCUGGACCAACACUGACGCUGAGUGAGCGAAAGCCAGGGGAGCAAACGGGG